UAUGAAGCUCUUCUCGAUCUGUCUGUUCGUGGUAUUAUUCCUAUUCCAAGCUACGCUUGGUCUUCGAAUCGACAAUGCCGGACUUGAACGUCGUGAGACUUUUGGCGUUUCGUCGCGUCAUCAGCCUCCAGGAGGUCCUCCAGGACACGCAGGAGGUCCUCCGCCACCUCCGUCUCCACCUACCAAUGCGACAUCCAGUGGCUAGAAUAUGCUCCGUCUCGUCUCACCCCUGCUUUGGUUUCGAUCGAAAGACAAACGCGUGCAACGCUCUCACCGGAAACUGAUUAUAUUUUUUGAACGAAAAUUUCACAGCGCAAACUGCAUAUCUGCGUAACCUAGCAAUCGUAAUAAAGUUAAAUAUUA